UACGUAGGGCGCAAGCGUUGUCCGGAAUUAUUGGGCGUAAAGAGCUCGUAGGCGGCUUGUCGCGUCGUCCGUGAAAACCUGCGGCUCAACUGCAGGCUGGCGGUCGAUACGGGCAGGCUGGAGUUCGGUAGGGGAGACGUGGAAUUCCUGGUGUAGCGGUGAAAUGCGCAGAUAUCAGGAGGAACACCGGUGGCGAAGGCGGGUCUCUGGGCCGAUACUGACGCUGAGGAGCGAAAGCGUGGGGAGCGAACAGG
rnacentral:rRNA from 1 species